AUGGCCGACGAGGACGCCACCGCGCUGGUUAAGGGGAAGCGCAUCACCAUCAUGGGGUCCGGCAAGUUGGCCUUCGAGAUCGCCGCCGAGUGCGCCGACGCCAAUGGCGCGGGGACGCCGUGCACGAUGUUGUGCCAGAACCCUCAUUGGCUGCUACCAUCGGGUGACAUGUCUCUCCUUUUCAAUUUCUCUUAUCGCAGGUUUGAUCGGAUGGAAUUCACACACUUGGAUCGAAGGAUUUGUGAUGUAAAUCAUAACUUUGUGUACUGA
rnacentral:rRNA from 1 species